GAUGAAGAACGCAGCGAAAUGCGAUAAGUAAUGUGAAUUGCAGAAUUCAGUGAAUCAUCGAAUCUUUGAACGCACAUUGCGCCCGCCAGUAUUCUGGCGGGCAUGCCUGUUCGAGCGUCAUUUCAACCAUCAAGCCCCCGGCUUGUGUUGGGGACCUGCGGCUGCCGCAGGCCUUGAAAAGCAGUGGCGGGCUCGCUGUCACACCGAGCGUAGUAGCAUACAUCUCGCUCUGGGCGUGCUGCGGGUUCCGGCCGUUAAACCACCUUCAUAACCCAAGGUUGACCUCGGAUCAGGUAGGAAGACCCGCUGAACUUAAGCAUAUCAAUAAGCGGAGGA
rnacentral:misc_RNA from 1 species